UUAAGAAGAUUGAACCACUGACGAUAGAUGAACUUAAUGAGUACGUCAUAAAGCUGCUCCUCAGGUAUAAAGAUCAACCUAAGAUAUCAUUCGUAACUAUACUGUAGCGGUUCAUUUGCAAGGAAAUUGAACCGUGGGUUUUCAUCUUUCACAUGUGCUUUUUGCAAUAAGGAGGACACUGUUGGAGUUGUUAGGGGGGGGGAGGGAAAUGACAACCCAACUGAUGAUUUUCCAGGUGCUGGAGCAGUGAAAAUAAGCCAUAUUGAUGGCCUUAAGGGCACUGCCGUGGAGGAUGGUGGCUUUGUUCCUUACGGUGAUGCAGCAGGUGGGACUGGUGAGCCAGUUGAUCCAAAUAAGACCUCUGUUGAUGGAAGGUCCAAAAGCGAGGAUGGAACAGAGCAUGAAAGUGGGUAGCUAUGGAAAGAAGCCAUGCACUGAGUAAUUCCUGAAAUACAAGGGAAACUUAAAUUACAAGUGCUGCAGGCAUGUCCGUAGCAUCAGUUUUUAAAUAAAUUUCAAACACUACGAAGUACGAAGUCAGGCUACUUUUCAUAUUUUGGAUAUUUGGUUCUGUUAGUUUAUUUUUCUUACAAUUCAACUCUAUUAAUAAGCAAUUCAUGCUUACAUCAUCCUUCA